GACGAACGCUGGCGGCGUGCUUAACACAUGCAAGUCGAACGGAAAGGCCCUGCUUUUGUGGGGUGCUCGAGUGGCGAACGGGUGAGUAACACGUGAGUAACCUGCCCUUGACUUUGGGAUAACUUCAGGAAACUGGGGCUAAUACCGGAUAGGAGCUCCUGCUGCAUGGUGGGGGUUGGGAAGUUUCGGCGGUUGGGGAUGGACUCGCGGCUUAUCAGCUUGUUGGUGGGGUAGUGGCUUACCAAGGCUUUGACGGGUAGCCGGCCUGAGAGGGUGACCGGCCAACUGGGGGGGUAGGGAGGGCCCAGGCGCCGAGGGGGGGCAAGAGGGGGGAAUAUGGCAAAAGGGGGGGGAGGCUGGAAGGAGCACCGCCGGGGGGGGAAGGGGGGCUUUGGGGUUAGAAACCGUUUGGGCGGGAAAGGAGGGGGGGGGGAGGGAAAUGGUAAAAAAACCACGGCUAAAUACGUG
rnacentral:rRNA from 1 species